rnacentral:tRNA from 1 species
GGGCGCAUAGCUCAGUUGGUUAGAGCGCUUCUCUUACACAGAAGAGGUCAGGGGUUCGAGUCCCUUUGCGCCCACAA